rnacentral:lncRNA from 1 species
GGAUGAAUUCUGCAUGGCUCGGUUGAAUAUUGUCUCUGUUAACCAAAGAGGUGACAGCUAUGCAGAAUCAUUUUUGUAUCUCCGAAAAUAUUCGACCAAUCUGAAAAAUUAUUUCUGGCAAGCCUUUGGGAAGGGCAAUGCGCUCGCUGCAAUGCAUAUUUCAGUUUUCAUAGAAAGUGUUUCCGGGCCCCUCAAGCUUUUUGUGGAUACUCAUGUACCAUAAAACUAGUAAUUAUGAAGGCCACUUUUCUCGGAGUGUAUCACUUAGCAAAGGGGGUUUGUGAGCAGUGACAAAUGCCAAGACAACGAAAGCCAUUCUAAUGACCGUGACGAGGACAAAAGUACCCUUAGACUGUGUAAAUAAUUCUUUGAGGAGAAAAAUGGGAAAAUGCUGCCAUUUCGUUUCAGCGCCUAAGCAAAGCAAUUUUCAGGUGCAAGGUGGGCUAGUUGGUUUCUUGUCUGAUCUGUGAAACGUGUCACAUUUUUAUCUUGCAGGCUAGACCACCUGUCCAGUCAGCUUGUUCGGCGAGUGGCUGGGUACGUAGCUGGGUGAAAAUGCUGCCUGUGCACAUGGUUGAAAGCACAAGCAAGGCAUUACAUAUGCAUGCUUAUACAUUACAUGCAUUAUAAAUUAUUAAGAUAUAAGGUUACAGACUUGCAAAUCACUGAUCGUCUUGGUUCAAUUAGUAAUUACGGUUGGUACUACUGUGAAGCUGAACCAAUUUUGCAGCCAAGUCUGAUAAAUUGAAGAAAUUUAAAAGUUCUUACCAUGUCACCCAAGAAGUGGAGUAAUUACUGUUUAAGAAGAAACAUACUGAGAUGCAUAUAUA